rnacentral:rRNA from 1 species
GCGGUAGAGAGAAGCUUGCUUCUCUUGAGAGCGGCGGACGGGUGAGUAAUGCCUAGGAAUCUGCCUGGUAGUGGGGGAUAACGCUCGGAAACGGACGCUAAUACCGCAUACGUCCUACGGGAGAAAGCAGGGGACCUUCGGGCCUUGCGCUAUCAGAUGAGCCUAGGUCGGAUUAGCUAGUUGGUGAGGUAAUGGCUCACCAAGGCGACGAUCCGUAACUGGUCUGAGAGGAUGAUCAGUCACACUGGAACUGAGACACGGUCCAGACUCCUACGGGAGGCAGCAGUGGGGAAUAUUGGACAAUGGGCGAAAGCCUGAUCCAGCCAUGCCGCGUGUGUGAAGAAGGUCUUCGGAUUGUAAAGCACUUUAAGUUGGGAGGAAGGGCAUUAACCUAAUACGUUGGUGUCUUGACGUUACCGACAGAAUAAGCACCGGCUAACUCUGUGCCAGCAGCCGCGGUAAUACAGAGGGUGCAAGCGUUAAUCGGAAUUACUGGGCGUAAAGCGCGCGUAGGUGGUUUGUUAAGUUGGAUGUGAAAUCCCCGGGCUCAACCUGGGAACUGCAUUCAAAACUGA